AGGUGCUGGAGCAGGUGAGCGGACCAGACAACGGUGUUUUCCAAGGCGAGGUACACCGUUAGUUCUUUUGGUAUCCGGCGGUAAUGAGAAGGUUGCAUGCUACAUGAUGGUGAGGGGAGAGCUAACAGUAACUCUCAGAAGCACAUAUUUUACAGAAGUUCCAGGCUGAAAGAAGUUUGAAUAGGCGUGAUUCCCUACUCAACCAAAAUUUUAGUUAUUAUA